rfam:Oryza glumipatula chromosome 1, whole genome shotgun sequence.
AAAAAUGACAAACUCUACUUUUCGUGUCCAAAAUUUGACCGUCCGUCUUAUUUGAAAAAAAUAUGAAAAAAAAUAAAAAAAUAAGUCACACAUAAAGUAUUAAUCAUGUUUUAUCAUCUAACAAUAAUGAAAAUACUAAUUAUAAAAAAAAUUUAUAUAAGACAGACAGUCAAACGUUGACACAGAAAUCAGUGUUUGUCUUUUUU